GAUGAACGCUAGCGGCAGGCUUAAUACAUGCAAGUCGUGGGGCAGCAUGAAUGUAGCAAUACAUUUGAUGGCGACCGGCAAACGGGUGCGGAACACGUACACAACCUUCCUAUAAGUGGGGAAUAGCCCAGAGAAAUUUGGAUUAAUACCCCGUAACAUAACGAUGUGGCAUCACAUUGUUAUUAUAGCUUCGGCGCUUAUUGAUGGGUGUGCGGCCGAUUAGAUAGUUGGCGGGGUAACGGCCCACCAAGUCUACGAUCAGUAGCGGAUGUGAGAGCAUGAUCGGCCACACGGGCACUGAGACACGGGCCCGACUCCGACGGGAGGCAGCAGUAAGGAAUAUUGGUCAAUGGACGCAAGUCUGAACCAGCCAUGCCGCGUGAAGGAUUAAGGUCCUCUGGAUUGUAAACUUCUUUUAUCUGGGACGAAAAAAGGCUUUUCUAAGUCACUUGACGGUACCAGAUGAAUAAGCACCGGCUAACUCCGUGCCAGCCGCCGCCGUAACAC
rnacentral:rRNA from 1 species